GCCCGGUUAGCUCAAUCGGUAGAGCGUGAGACUCUUAUAUUUCAAAACGAGUACGCGAUCUCAAGGUUGCGGGUUCGACCCCCGCAUCGGGCU
rnacentral:tRNA from 1 species